CGCGUAGGCGGUCUGGUCAGUCGGAUGUGAAAGCCCCGGGCUUAACCUGGGAACUGCAUUCGAUACUGCCAAACUGGAAUAUGGGAGAGGGAAGUGGAAUUUCCGGUGUAGCGGUGAAAUGCGUAGAUAUCGGAAGGAACACCAGUGGCGAAGGCGGCUUCCUGGCCCAAUAUUGACGCUGAGGUGCGAAAGCGUGGGGAGCGAACA
rnacentral:rRNA from 1 species